UCUGACUAUAUUACUUUCAGGUCGCUGUGCUUCUUUGCUAUCCUCCCCCACAACUUCAGGAAGGAAGAAAGGAAAAACAUCACAGUGGAGGAUAUAGAAAGAGUAGAGGAGCUAUUAUCAUUUAAUUAAAGGCUUUUGAAGCUUUUGAAGGCCCAGGUGAAGGAAUUACCUCUGCUGAUGAAUAGUCUUUUCCAAAGAAAAUAGAAUACUAUUUCUCUUGGAUCAAAUACAAAUUAGGCCAACUUGUAUACAGUGUUUAUCUGUCGCAAAUGACUUCUGUUUACAAGCUAAGAGGGCCACAAGAACAUCUGGCUCCUAUCAUCUAGAGUGCAAGGGCUAUUCUGGUCCACACUGAAUAGUUUCAGUGCAAGGACAGUAAUGAGGAAGACAGCAGUAACUCUGCUCCAUGAGCUGUCCGGACAGCAGAGAAAGGAUCAUCAGUGAAAUUAUUUCUGAAGAAAACCAGUUAGUAACCUAAUGUCAAAAAUGCUAUUUCACUGUUAGAUCUUGAUUUGUGUGCACACAUAUUGUGUGCAGAGAUAGCAUUUCAAAUGUCUUUAAAGUUUUAAGAUCUUCAUCAGGCCCACUUCUCCACACCAGUCUAACCUUCCAUUCAGCUGUUCUGUUUCCAGUUUGAAGUUGUUCAAGUCAUGAGGCAGAUCUGGAAGUAAAAUAGGUUCCCACUGGACAUUUUCUGGGGAAGUGAGGUAGGAGAUUCAGUUUGGUAUUUCUCAUCUUGAAGACCAAAGGGCCUGGCCAGAUGAGGCAAAGAAUUGAAAAGUAAAGAGAGAAGGAUGACCAUUCAUGCUCCUGGAACCAUUCCAGAGAAAUAGAACCUAAGAUAUAUUUAGUAACCUUGCUGUUGAAAUAAAAUCUUGUGUAACUCCACCUUAGCAGCAAUAUUUAGCAUUUAUGUAAUCAUAUAAAGUAAAAAAUUACCUACUUUUUAAUUAUAAAGAAAUGUAUUCAGUAACCUCUAAAAUAUAAAAAGGAAAACUUUUUAUUUCCCAGAUAGCUAAAAUCUUCAUUACACAGCAUUAUCCUUUACACUAAAAAGUAUUGCCAUUUAAAGAGGAAUUUAUCAGGUAUUAGGCAUUGGUUGUACUGGCCAAAUACCACAUAUCGAGCUAAAUAAUCACAUUCCCAGGUGAAAUUUAGCACCUUUUACUAUUUUUAGGCAGUCAGAAUACAUCACUGUGUACCCAUGCUUUGAGAGUCACCAUCAGGCCACAUUUCAACAAUCAAAGCAUGUUUGAUAAAAGAAGAAAAUCAGUAAUUUUCUAGACUUAGUGGCAAAAUUAUCUUUCAUGGAUAAAUAAAGAUAUUAAUUAUUGCUAUAAGGCUUCAUAUAAACUAUAUAGAAGAAAUCACAGUUGUUUAUAAUACUUAGAGAAUUUAAAAAGAUCACAGAAAUAAUCCUAGAAUAAACUGCCUGAAUAAAGUGUUUAAAAUUUUCUCUCUCUUGCUAAAAAUGAAAAAAAAUCCAGAAAAAGGCUGUGUAUACACAUAAAUGAAUGGUAUGUUUGAACAUGUUUCCUGCUUUCUGUUAUUCAGUUAAAAAUCUGCAUAAAUAUAUUCUUCACAGUAAGUCUUAGGAUUUUAAUGUUUUAAUGUCUGACUUCAAUAUCACUGUAAUGGCAUUCCCUCUUCUCAUCACAAUUCCUCUUCUGAAUCACUGCCAUGGACUACUUUUCAGCAGGAGCCUUCCAUUAGAAAUACUGCAAUUCACUGGAUUUGACAACUUCAUGGUGAAACUAUAAAAACUUCUUAAACUAAGUAACUUUUUCUUAGGCUGAAGUCAAGAAUAACCUGUUCAUUUUCCUAUUUUUUACCCUGGACUGUGGAACUAGCUGUUCCAAGAAGCCAUCACUUGAAUUGUUGGGAAAUUGCCUCUCAAAGAUCUGGCCUGAAAUAACAACUUGACAAUCUAUGUGCAACUAUUUGGAGUGGUACACUACUACUUCCUUAAAAAACACUACAUUUAGUUUCUUUGCUUUCCUUCACACUGCCUGCUCUGGAUGGUAUUUACAUACUAUGGGCAACCAAUUUAGUAUCCAAAUUAAAAGUACAGGCUUUUUAUGCCAUCAGUGGAAAGGGGCACAGUGCUUCAGAAGGCAAUUAAGAGUAAAACACUGAGAAACCUGCCUGCUUUGGCAAUUUCUUGGAGGACCUGGACACUUCUGUUAAAGGCCCAGGACAGAUUGUGAAGAUGUCUGAACCUCCACAGAGCCUUUUUUAUUUUUUAGCUUUUAAUUGGGACAGAAAACAAACACCAAUUUUUGUUAAUAAAAUGUCACUUGAAUUGCAAUUUAAAUGCAUGGAGAGUCUCUCGCUACUUGUUGGUUGCUCAUUCUAAAUAUUCUCCCUUAGGAUGAUUUUUUCAAGAGAAUUGCUCUUUCCCUAUUACUAUCUCAGUCAGUUCUACACAGAUUUUAACCUAAUUAGCCCACACUUUUUUUUUCUUUUGAUUGGCUUCAGAAAAAUUAAUUUCAUGGCUGGACAGAUAUUCUGGUUUGCCUUCAUUUGCUUUUAGCAUUUUCAUAUUCUUAUACCUAUUUGAGGUACAGAUGAAUCUGUUUUGCUGGCCUCCCCAGCCAAUGCUGAUCUUUGGCCCAACUGCUCCUCUGCUGUUUGUGGUUUCUUCCCAAUAAAAAGUAACAACUUCCCAGGCCUCUGCCGUGUUCUCCUGCUGGCCUCCUGUGUAAUUCUGCUUUGUAUGCAAGUAGCCUACACUUUUAGAAAAGCUCUCUGUCAUCCCAGAAUAUUCCAGGCACUACAGAAAAACAAACAAGAGCUCCGUUUAAGCCCUCUGGACAUGUUUCUGUCUAGCAAUUUUUGACAGACAGCUGGAACAAUUUUUAACAAGUCACAGGCAUCCUGGACCAAAGGCUUUUCUUUUCUGUGCAAUCUAGUUUCCAUGAACUCUUAUACACUUAUCUGUGCUGCUGAUGUCCAGAAUGCAAGCUUCUCCCUAACACUUAAAUGAAUCUUCUCUAACUUCUGCCCCUGCAGCUGGUCAUGAAGCUGCUGAACAAUUAUCUUGGUUGCUGCAUAAACAGGGACAGGAUUUUGAUAACUAAAUGGCCUACCAUUGCAGCUUGUGAACAGCUGACAGGUUAUCCCAAUCUCCUAUAGGGACCACGUGGCUUUGUGCUUGCUCCUCUCUGAAAAGCUCAGUCUGUCAACAUUUCACCAUCUCCAUGUCUCCUUUCUUUCUUUUUAAUCCAUUUGUUAUUCCAGAACAACAUUUUAUAAUUAUUACGCUUUAGCCCCAGCUGCUGGUAAAAUAAAGGUGGUACAUCUAAAACACCACUAACUACACAUGGGUAACUGGCAGAGAAAAAUAACCAGUUCCUGCUUGUUCAAGAGACAUAGCCAAAGUAUUUGAUGGAUGAAAUAAGAAGAGGAAGGGAGAAAGUUUCUUUAAAAAUCCAGUAUUACACAUAUUUACUGAUGUACAGCCUGUACUGCUUUGAUCUUGCAGUGAGCCUGUAUUUCAUAAAUUGAUCUUUUCAUUUGGAAAAAGAAGCUUGCACUGAGAAAGUUUCUAUUUAUAGUUAUAAAAAUAUAGUAAUAAAACAACAGAUCAAAAUAAAUACAAAUAAGAAACCAAAACAAACCCUUUUCUUCAUGGGAAUAUUUUAUUAUUUCCUGAUGUACACAUUCAUUAUCCCUGGUUUGGGCUUUUUUUCCAAGUCUCAUCUGGAAAUAUUUCAAAUGGAAUAAAUUUUAAAUCAUUCCCCUUUUGGAAUAAGCUACAUUUCUGAACUCUUGAAAUGUUCUAUUUAUUCCAGAAUUUUACUUUGCUUCCAAGAGCAAGGCAAAGAACUUCAUGGAACAAUUAGAAAGAACUGGAAAAUCCUCAUAACAUGAAGGGCUGAUAGCCAAAAAUCCUAAAUCUGAUGGACUGCCUUGCAGAUUGGCAUGAACAAUGUCUCUCCCCAUAAGUAAACCUUAAUCUCCUAAGCAGCAAGGAAAAUAAUUUCUUUUUAAGGUUGCUUUAGUCUUUCCAUGCCAAACAAUCCCUCUUUUUCUUUCCUUUUCUAUAUCUUUCUCAAUUUUUUUUCUUUUUUCUUUUUUUUCCCCAUCAUUUUUUUCUAUUUUUUCCUUCCUUUUUAUCUCCUUUCCUUUCCUGCCCUCUAGUGACCAACCAAGCAUGUUCCUAAACAAACUGAGCACACUUCCAAAAUACUUCUAAAAGGAAUAACAGUGAAAUGUUUCUGAGCUGUCCAUGGCUGAGCCUCUCAGGCUGUGUUAGUAACAGGUGGGCUACAAACCCCCUUCUGCCUCUAGAAAAGUCCCUACCACAUGUAUUGGGUGGGAUUUGGCAUAUAUUUCAGCUA